rnacentral:ncRNA from 1 species
GGGGGGCGUUGAGGCGCGGUCGUCUCACCCGGCCGCCUGGACCGCGCCGAGCCACUGGCGGGACCGACCC